UACGUAGGGGGGCAAGCGUUGUCCGGAUUUAUUGGGCGUAAAGAGCGUGUAGGCGGCCAGACAGGUCAGCUGUGAAAACUCGAGGCUCAACCUCGAGACGUCGGUUGAAACCGUCUGGCUAGAGUCCGGAAGAGGAGAGUGGAAUUCCCGGUGUAGCGGUGAAAUGCGCAGAUAUCGGGAAGAACACCCGUGGCGAAGGCGGCUCUCUGGGGACGGUACUGACGCUGAGACGCGAAAGCGUGGGGAGCGAACAGG
rnacentral:rRNA from 1 species